GUAACAGAGGGUAGCUUGCUACCCGCUGACGAGCGGCGGACGGGAUGAGUAAUGCAUAGGAAUCUGCCCGGUAGUGGGGGAUAACCUGGGGAAACCCAGGCUAAUACCGCAUACGUCCUACGGGAGAAAGGGGGCUCCGGCUCCCGCUAUUGGAUGAGCCUAUGUCGGAUUAGCUAGUUGGUAAGGUAAUGGCUUACCAAGGCAACGAUCCGUAGCUGGUCUGAGAGGAUGAUCAGCCACAUCGGGACUGAGACACGGCCCGAACUCCUACGGGAGGCAGCAGUGGGGAAUAUUGGACAAUGGGGGCAACCCUGAUCCAGCCAUGCCGCGUGUGUGAAGAAGGCCCUCGGGUUGUAAAGCACUUUCAGCGAGGAAGAACGCCUAUCGGUUAAUACCCGGUAGGAAAGACAUCACUCGCAGAAGAAGCACCGGCUAACUCCGUGCCAGCAGCCGCGGUAAUACGGAGGGUGCAAGCGUUAAUCGGAAUUACUGGGCGUAAAGCGCGCGUAGGUGGCUUGAUAAGCCGGUUGUGAAAGCCCCGGGCUCAACCUGGGAACGGCAUCCGGAACUGUCAGGCUAGAGUGCAGGAGAGGAAGGUAGAAUUCCCGGUGUAGCGGUGAAAUGCGUAGAGAUCGGGAGGAAUACCAGUGGCGAAGGCGGCCUUCUGGACUGACACUGACACUGAGGUGCGAAAGCGUGGGUAGCAAACAGGAUUAGAUACCCUGGUAGUCCACGCCGUAAACGAUGUCGACCAGCCGUUGGGUGCCUAGAGCACUUUGUGGCGAAGUUAACGCGAUAAGUCGACCGCCUGGGGAGUACGGCCGCAAGGUUAAAACUCAAAUGAAUUGACGGGGGCCCGCACUAGCGGUGGAGCAUGUGGUUUAAUUCGAUGCAACGCGAAGAACCUUACCUACCCUUGACAUCUACAGAAGCCGUAAGAGAUUCUGGUGUGCCUUCG
rnacentral:rRNA from 1 species